ensembl:misc_RNA 7SK 7SK RNA
GGAUGUGAGGGCGAUCUGGCUGCGACAUCUGUCACCCCCUUGAUUACCAGCGUUGAAUUGGCUGAUCUGGCUGGCUAGGCGGGUGUCCCCUUCCUCCCUCUCUGCUCCAUGUGUGUCCCUCCUGAAGCUGAGCACUCAGUCGAAGAGGAUGGCCUUCCCUGAAUAGAGAUGGACCAGUCUUUGGUCAAGGGUAUACGAGUAGCUGUGCUCCCCUGCUAGAACCUCCAAACAAGCUCUCUAAAUGUCUUGUAAUUUCAUUUUAUGCUCAGCCAAAGUUUUAGUCAUUCAUUUUGAUGACAUAAGACAUUU